rnacentral:rRNA from 1 species
ACGGGAGGCAGCAGUGAGGAAUAUUGGUCAAUGGCCGGAAGGCUGAACCAGCCAUCUCGCGUGAAGGAAUACGGCCCUACGGGUCUUAAACUUCUUUUAUAGGGGGAUAAAGUGAGCCACGAGUGGCUUUUUGUAGGUACCCUAUGAAUAAGCAUCGGCUAACUCCGUGCCAGCAGCCGCGGUAAUACGGAGGAUGCGAGCGUUAUCCGGAUUUAUUGGGUUUAAAGGGUGCGCAGGCGGCACGUUAAGUCAGCGGUGAAAUGUCGGGGCUCAACCCGGGCACUGCCGUUGAAACUGGCGAGCUUGAGUACGGAUGAAGUCGGCGGAAUGUGAUGUGUAGCGGUGAAAUGCUUAGAUAUGUCCCAGAACUCCGAUUGCGAAGGCAGCUUACCAGCAUACAACUGACGCUGAGGCACGAAAGCGUGGGUAUCAAACAGGAUUAGAUACCCUGGUA